GACGAACGCUGGCGGCGUGCUUAACACAUGCAAGUCGAACGAAGUGGCGAACGGGAGAGUAACGCGUAAUCAACCUGCCCUUCAGAGGGGGACAACAGUUGGAACCGACUGCUAAUACCGCAUACUGAAGGGGGGGAUUGCGUCGGAUUAGCUCGGUGGUGGGGGAACGGCCCACAAAGGCGAUGAUCAGUCGCCGGUCUGGGAGGAUGAACGGCCAAAUUGGGACUGAGACACGGCCCAGACUCCUACGGGAGGCAGCAGUGGGGAAUCUUCCGCAAUGGACGAAAGUCUGACGGAGCAACGCCGCGUGAGUGAGGACGGCCUUCGGGUUGUAAAGCUCUGUUAAUCGGGACGCGGUACCGGAAUAGAAAGCCACGGCUAACUACGUGCCAGCAGCCGCGGUAAUUC
rnacentral:rRNA from 1 species